rnacentral:rRNA from 1 species
CCUACGGGAGGCAGCAGUGGGGAAUUUUGGACAAUGGGCGCAAGCCUGAUCCAGCAAUGCCGCGUGAGUGAAGAAGGCCUUCGGGUUGUAAAGCUCUUUUGUCAGGGAAGAAACGGUUGUUCCUAAUACGGAUGGCUAAUGACGGUACCUGAAGAAUAAGCACCGGCUAACUACGUGCCAGCAGCCGCGGUAAUACGUAGGGUGCAAGCGUUAAUCGGAAUUACUGGGCGUAAAGCGUGCGCAGGCGGUUAUAUAAGUCAGAUGUGAAAUCCCCGGGCUCAACCUGGGAACUGCAUUUGAGACUGUAUGGCUAGAGUGUGUCAGAGGGGGGUAGAAUUCCACGUGUAGCAGUGAAAUGCGUAGAUAUGUGGAGGAAUACCGAUGGCGAAGGCAGCCCCCUGGGAUAACACUGACGCUCAUGCACGAAAGCGUGGGGAGCAAACAGGAUUAGAUACCCUGGUAGUCCACGCCCUAAACGAUGUCUACUAGUUGUCGGGACUUAAUUGUCUUGGUAACGCAGCUACGCGUGAGUAGACCGCCGUGGGAGGUACGGUCGCGAGAAGUUAAAACGUUAAAAGGUAAAGUUAGUACGGCGUGAGACGUGACCGACGGACGACGACGAGGGAGGAGG